rfam:Zea mays cultivar B73 chromosome 4, whole genome shotgun sequence.
AUUUUUUCUCAGCCUUUUGGCUAAAAUAAAGGGUAAUAUUUGUCCUUAUCUGAUUAAUAUCUGAUAUAGGGAGCAUAUAUUCACUUUGAUAUAUUUUUUGGUAUCAAAUUGGUCGUGUGUCGUUGCAACGGGCAUUGUACUAGUGUAUUUUUGUAAAAUGGGUGCUCCUACACGUACGGUUCUAGUGUUAGACCGAUA